rnacentral:rRNA from 1 species
CCUACGGGUGGCAGCAGUGAGGAAUAUUGGUCAAUGGACGAGAGUCUGAACCAGCCAAGUAGCGUGAAGGAUGACGGCCCUAGGGGUUGUAAACCUCUUUUACAGGGGAGUAAAAUGCUCUACGUGUGGGAUUUUGUAUGUACCAUAUGAAUAAGGAUCGGCUAACUCCGUGCCAGCAGCCGCGGUAAUACGGAGGGUUCGAGCGUUAUCCGGAUUUAUUGGGUUUAAAGGGAGCGUAGGUGGAUUGUUAAGUCAGUGGUGAAAGUUUGCGGCUCAACCGUUAAAUUGCAGUUGAAACUGGGUGUCUUGAGUGCAGUAGAGGUGGGCGGAAUUCGUGGUGUAGCGGUGAAAUGCUUAGAUAUCACGAAGAACUCCGAUUGCGAAGGCAGCUCACUGGACUGCAACUGACGCUGAGGCUCGAAAGUGUGGGUAUCAAACAGGAUUAGAUACCCUUGUAGUC